AUUGAACGCUGGCGGCAUGCCUAACACAUGCAAGUCGAGCGGAAAAAGGGAGCUUGUUCCUGACUUGAGCGGAGGGCGGGUGUGUUAUACCGGGGCGUAUGCCUGGUAGGGGGGGAUCGCAUCCGAAGAUGGGCGCUAAUCCCAUAUGAGUUCAGAGUGAGAACGGGGGGGAUCUUCGGACCUCUAUCUAUCAGCUGUUCCUAGGUCGGAUUAGCUAGUUGGUUGGGUAAAGGGCUACCAAGGCGACGAUCCGUCACUGGUCUGAGAGGAUGAUCAGCCAAACGGGAACUGAGACACGGUCCAGACUCCUACGGGAGGCAGCAGGGGGGAAUUUUGGACAAUGGGCGAAAGCCUGAUCCAGCCAAGCCGCGUGGGGGAAGAAGGUCUUCGGAUUGUAAAACCCUUUUAGGCGGGAGGAAGAGGAGGAAGGUUAAACCUUGCUGUUUUGACGGUAACAACAGAAAAAGCAACGGCUAACUUCGUG
rnacentral:rRNA from 1 species